AGAGGAAGGAGGAAGCACUGGGGACUUAAAUGGAGCAAACCAUCCACGCGUGUGUGGUCAUGUCAAAAUGAACCCGUCAUGUUACGUGUGACUAUGUUGCCUGGUCACAUUCGAGUUGCGGCCAACGAUCGUGGAAAGACCCCCAGCUUGCUUGUCACUAGGGGAAUGCAAAUGAAACCACCAGGAGAUCCACUUCACACCUGCUGCGAUGGGCAGACCCAGACAGAGGGCGGCAAGUGCCGGCGGGGACAUGGAGAAAUCGACACCCUGCGCAUUCCUGGUAGGAGUGUCGAGUGCUGCAACCCAAAUGGAAAGCCGUCCAGUGGUUCCUCAAUAUAAAUAUAAAAUUACUUUUGUGACUCAGCAAUUCCACUCCAUGGUACCUACACCAAAGAAUUGGAAAAAAAAAAAAACUUGUCCGUGAGUGUUCAUAGCCGCAGUAUUCAUCAGAGCCCAAAGCUGCAAAGAACCCCACUGUCUGGAUAAGUGGAAAGACAAAUACUGGCCCACAGUGACCCCCAAAGGAGCCACCCCGGGGACCAAGCCUGUUGCACAUGGGCCUUCGGGGGACACUCACAGUCAAAUGGAAGCAGCUUCCUUGGGUGAUGAGAAACGUCCUGGAACCAGGGCAGCCGGAGAAGGGCGAGACCAACUUUAUUUCUGAAUUUGGACUGACUGAAAGAAGUGGCAUCACAUUUGAAGGGCACCCAAUCAAUCUGUUGCCCUCACUGCAUGAAAUUGUAUUCGCUUACCACUUCCUAUCUCGCCGGGCGCAGCUGGGCUGUAAGUCAUUGGUGAUAACAUUCUUUAUUAUGCCGUCGUGUUUAUGAACUGUGCCUGGAAAGAGAUGAUAGAAAUAUGCGGCAAUAUGCAAAGGAAGGGGGAGGGGGAGGGGGAGCAAAUGCUAGUUGCCAGGGCAACCGUGGGGCUAUUUUGGGCAUCGGAUUUUGCAGAUGAUGGAAACCAUUUCCCUGCAGUGGUUGGACUCUCCCCUCCCCCUUCCUGGAGGCAAUAAACGCAGAACCGAAUAUUUAGGAAGGAGAUGGCUUAAUUUCUUAA